UUGACAAUCACUGUCAAAUUGCUAAUUUUUUAAAUAUCUUACACUAAAUUCGCUUAAGUAAAAGACAUGUCUGUGCCACUGAAGCAAGACGCUUGCCCUUCGCACAUGCUUUCAUUGCUAAUUACUUGCGCGAGCGAUAACAGUUUAAUGCUAAUUCUGGAAAAUGCCAACAGUGACCACUGGAUGGCAUGCGUAAAAGCCGAAGCGAACGUUAGUUGGGUCCGGAUUAUUACUAAGGAAGCCCAAGACAUAUUGGGGGUUAAAACGAACGUUAAGCUGCUACGAGUGAACAAGAUAUGGCUACCCAGGAAAGAAGGGAGUGUGAUACUGUGGCACUGCGUCUUCUUUGUAAAUAUUGAUACAAAUGCAAAAAAUAAGACUAAAAACAGCAUGGGAAAGUACAGGGGUAAAAUAAGGUGGGUAGGAGAGUGUGAGCUGACCGGCUUACUGCAGAGCAACAGUCUCAGGUCUCCAGAAAUCUUGGAACUGUAUCAACUUACCAAAGACACUGACGUCGCCAGUUUAGCUAUUGACUUACCGGAAGAGAUAAUCACUAGUAAGAAUAUCUCCGAAAUAACAGAUGAAAUACUGGUUUCUGGAAAAAGCACCAAUUACCAGCAGCUGAUCGAUGGCUCAGGAAUCGACAAACUUGCGCAGGAAGAGAUUUACAGGACGAUCUUUGUAAAUUACUGCUUUCCCGCCUGCUACAUGAACCUGCGCGCCUUCACCAAGAUCAUUCCCGAAUUAGGGUGGCCCAAGGCCCAAGUCCCCUUCUUGUUUAGGGCGGCGGAUCUUAAUAACCGAUUCGGGCUGUCGUUUAGGGAAUUUCUUUAUUUUUUGGCGGCCGUUGACCCUAAUACUGGCCAUGGGGGUACUGCUGCCGAGCUUAGAUGUCGGUACAUGUUUAAAUACUACGACAGGGACAAGGAUAACGCGUUAAAAAACGAAGAAUUCAAAAACCUCAUAUUGGACCUAAGAAAGUCGAAAAAACUGCCGGUAGAUCCGCCGAACGUCGGCAAAGAAACGAUUGAAACGUACAAAGCGAUGGGAAUCCCCGAGACCCAAUACAUCAACGUCAACGACUUUUUGAGGGCCGUCUGCGACCUGAAAAUCCGCGGGACCUCGCACAUUUUUCGCUCCUCCACGGGCAUCAUGAAGCACCUUAAGGCUGUGAGUGACAAACAAUCCUUAGUGGAGUCCGCUAAUACCAAAGCUCCCAGCGCCAUCUUGUAUAGCAUGCCGGCGGAGAAUCCCAGAGGAAAAAUGACCCUGAGGAAUUUGGACUACGAGAUCGCCAUUCAUACCGUGAAAAUCCAAAGGAGCGGGGAGGCCAUUAACAUCGACGAAAUGAAGGAGAUCCAGGAAGCAGUAUCUGCGACGACCCUUAAACAGCCGGCAAACGAGCAUUCGAAACGUUUGUCUUUGGACGUGUUCAGUCAACGUUCCGUACCCAAUGAAAUUCUGAAAGGGUUAAGGUAUUUGACUUCAAUUAACAACAUAAAAGACACGAAGACUUCGUAUACGUGGGGACAACUGGAUCCCGCGGUAUUCGGCAGGAAUCUGAUCCAGGUGUGCAACCAGGUGCGGGAGAUUUUUAAGAACGAGCCGAGGCUCCUGGAGCUGAACUCCCCCAUGUACAUUAUGGGUGACUUACACGGCAACGUGAACGACUUACUAUGCUUCGAAAGAACCCUUUGGCACAUUGGCCCCAAUUUGAGCCCCUGCAACUUACUUUUCCUGGGCGAUUACGUGGAUCGUGGGUCAUUUAGCAUAGAGACGAUAUCGUAUUUGCUCUCUUACAAGUUACAAAGCCCCACUAAGAUCAAUUUGGUGCGCGGGAACCACGAGAUUAGGGAGGUGCAAAAGAUGUUCACUUUUUACAAAGAGUGUAUACUGAAACUGGGUGAGAAAAUGGGAAAUGAAGUGUGGAACGCGGUAAAUAACGCCUUUGAUACCAUGCCUGUCGCAGCAGUGGUGGACGGCAAGAUUUUUUGUUGCCACGGUGGCGUACCGCCCCCGUGGCUUUGCCCAAUAAUGACCGCCAUAAACGACAUUCCAGUGGUCCUCAGUCAACCGGACACACAAAGUUCCUUGGCCUGGGAACUCAUGUGGAACGACCCGGUGAGGCCGAAAACCGUAAAUGACAAACUGGCCAUGGAACUAUUGGCCAAUGAGGGUUUCGCAGUUAACACCCGUCGUGGUACCGCUCAUAUCUUCAGCGUGGAGGCUCUGGAGCGGUUUUUGAAGGCGAAUCAGCUGACGCACUUGGUGAGGGCCCACGAGGUGGCGCAGGCCGGAUUUCAGGUGCAACAAAAGGGGCGACUUUUGACGGUGUUUUCGUCGUCCAAGUAUUGCGGCGGUAAUAACGAUGCCGCCUGCGUUAUGGCCGAUCAGGGCAAGUUGAGGAUAUUGAGGCUAGAAACCGAUUAGAAAAUCAGUAGUAGUACCGUGUAAACGUUGUCAAAAUAUUAAGUUCCUGGUAAAAGCUUGUGGUGUAAAUUAAGUCAGUUGUAAUGUGCAAUAAAAGGGGCGACUUUUGACGGUGUUUUCGUCGUCCAAGUAUUGCGGCGGUAAUAACGAUGCCGCCUGCGUUAUGGCCGAUCAGGGCAAGUUGAGGAUAUUGAGGCCAGAAACCGAUUAGAAAAUCAGUAGUAGUACCGUGUAAACGUUGUCAAAAAAUUAAGUUCCUGGUAAAAGCUUGUGGUGUAAAUUAAGUCAGUUGUAAUGUGAGUGUAAUGUGACUUAUUUAUGUAAUGGAUUUUGCUACAGAGCUUCAAUAGGCACAAUUAAAUUUAUUUAUAUAUUUGUAA